rnacentral:rRNA from 1 species
UCCCAGACUCCUACGGGAGGCAGCAGUGGGGGAUAUUGCACAAUGGAGGAAACUCUGAUGCAGCGACGCCGCGUGAGGGAAGACGGUCUUCGGAUUGUAAACCUCUGUCUUUGGGGAAGAAAAUGACGGUACCCAAAGAGGAAGCUCCGGCUAACUACGUGCCAGCAGCCGCGGUAAUACGGAGGAUGCGAGCGUUAUCCGGAUUUAUUGGGUUUAAAGGGUGCGUAGGCGGAAUGCCAAGUCAGCGGUAAAAUCGCGGGGCUCAACCCCGUACUGCCGUUGAAACUGCAUCCCUUGAGUGCGCGAGAAGUAUGCGGAAUGCGUGGUGUAGCGGUGAAAUGCAUAGAUAUCACGCAGAACUCCGAUUGCGAAGGCAGCAUACCGGCGCGCAACUGACGCUCAUGCACGAAAGCGUGGGUAUCGAACAGGAUUAGAUACCCGCGUA